rnacentral:rRNA from 1 species
GACGAACGCUGGCGGCGUGCCUAAUACAUGCAAGUAGGACGCACAGUCUAUACCGUAGCUUGCUACACCAUAGGCUGUGAGUUGCGAACGGGUGAGUAACGCGUAGGUAACCUGCCUAUUAGAGGGGGAUAACUAUUGGAAACGAUAGCUAAUACCGCAUAACAGUAUGUAACACAUGUUAGAUGCUUGAAAGAUGCAAUUGCAUCGCUAGUAGAUGGACCUGCGUUGUAUUAGCUAGUAGGUAGGGUAAUGGCCUACCUAGGCGACGAUACAUAGCCGACCUGAGAGGGUGAUCGGCCACACUGGGACUGAGACACGGCCCAGACUCCUACGGGAGGCAGCAGUAGGGAAUCUUCGGCAAUAGGGGGAACCCUGACCGAGCAACGCCGCGUGAGUGAAGAAGGUUUUCGGAUCGUAAAGCUCUGUUGUUAAGGAAGAACGAGUGUGAGAAUGGAAAGUUCAUACUGUGACGGUACUUAACCAGAAAGGGACGGCUAACUACGUG